ACUCUAAGCGGUGGAUCACUCGGCUCAUGGGUCGAUGAAGAACGCAGCAAACUGUGCGUCAUCGUGUGAACUGCAGGACACAUGAACAUCGACAUUUUGAACGCAUAUCGCAGUCCAUGCUGUUAUGUACUUUAAUUAAUUUUAUAGUGCUGCUUGGACUACAUAUGGUUGAGGGUUGUAAGACUAUGCUAAUUAAGUUGCUUAUAAAUUUUUAUAAGCAUAUGGUAUAUUAUUGGAUAAAUAUAAUAAUUUUUAUUCAUAAUAUUAAAAAAUAAAUGAAAAACAUUAUCUCACAUUUGAAUGUGAAAAACGAAGAGAAAUAUUUUCUUUUUCAAUCAAAUAAUACUGAGAAAUGUCUAGCAUAAAAAAUUGAAAUAUUUUUCAUCUAGAAUUGUCUCUUAUUAAUGAUUCGGAAAUAGAAAAAUCUUGGUUAUGUUAUUAUUCUUCGUUGGUUCGUUAAAAAUGGAUAAAUAAAAACUUUGCAUACAAGAAUUAAUAAAAAUGUUAUAACGAAUUUAAUUAAAUGUUUUAUCAUUAUAUAUAAAGAAUUUAUGGCAAGAUAAAGUUAUAUACAACCUCAACUCAUAUGGGACUACCCCCUGAAUUUAAGCAUAUUAAUUAGGGGAGGAAAAGAAACUAACAAGGAUUUUCUUAGUAGCGGCGAGCGAAAAGAAAACAGUUCAGCACUAAGUCACUUUGUCUAUAUGGCAAAUGUGAGAUGCAGUGUAUGGAGCGUCAAUAUUCUAGUAUGAGAAAUUAACGAUUUAAGUCCUUCUUAAAUGAGGCCAUUUACCCAUAGAGGGUGCCAGGCCCGUAUAACGUUAAUGAUUACUAGAUGAUGUUUCCAAAGAGUCGUGUUGCUUGAUAGUGCAGCACUAAGUGGGUGGUAAACUCCAUCUAAAACUAAAUAUAACCAUGAGACCGAUAGUAAACAAGUACCGUGAGGGAAAGUUGAAAAGAACUCUGAAUAGAGAGUUAAACAGUACGUGAAACUGCUUAGAGGUUAAGCCCGAUGAACCUGAAUAUCCGUUAUGGAAAAUUCAUCAUUAAAAUUGUAAUAUUUAAAUAAUAUUAUGAGAAUAGUGUGCAUUUUUUCCAUAUAAGGACAUUGUAAUCUAUUAGCAUAUACCAAAUUUAUCAUAAAAUAUAACUUAUAGUUUAUUCCAAUUAAAUUGCUUGCAUUUUAACACAGAAUAAAUGUUAUUAAUUUGAUAAAGUGCUGAUAGAUUUAUAUGAUUACAGUGCGUUAAUUUUUCGGAAUUAUAUAAUGGCAUAAUUAUCAUUGAUUUUUGUGUUUAUUAUAUGCACUUGUAUGAUUAACAAUGCGAAAGAUUCAGGAUACCUUCGGGACCCGUCUUGAAACACGGACCAAGGAGUCUAACAUAUGUGCAAGUUAUUGGGAUAUAAACCUAAUAGCGUAAUUAACUUGACUAAUAAUGGGAUUAGUUUUUUAGCUAUUUAUAGCUAAUUAACACAAUCCCGGGGCGUUCUAUAUAGUUAUGUAUAAUGUAUAUUUAUAUUAUUUAUGCCUCUAACUGGAACGUACCUUGAGCAUAUAUGCUGUGACCCGAAAGAUGGUGAACUAUACUUGAUCAGGUUGAAGUCAGGGGAAACCCUGAUGGAAGACCGAAACAGUUCUGACGUGCAAAUCGAUUGUCAGAAUUGAGUAUAGGGGCGAAAGACCAAUCGAACCAUCUAGUAGCUGGUUCCUUCCGAAGUUUCCCUCAGGAUAGCUGGUGCAUUUUAAUAUUAUAUAAAAUAAUCUUAUCUGGUAAAGCGAAUGAUUAGAGGCCUUAGGGUCGAAACGAUCUUAACCUAUUCUCAAACUUUAAAUGGGUAAGAACCUUAACUUUCUUGAUAUGAAGUUCAAGGUUAUGAUAUAAUGUGCCCAGUGGGCCACUUUUGGUAAGCAGAACUGGCGCUGUGGGAUGAACCAAACGUAAUGUUACGGUGCCCAAAUUAACAACUCAUGCAGAUACCAUGAAAGGCGUUGGUUGCUUAAAACAGCAGGACGGUGAUCAUGGAAGUCGAAAUCCGCUAAGGAGUGUGUAACAACUCACCUGCCGAAGCAACUAGCCCUUAAAAUGGAUGGCGCUUAAGUUGUAUACCUAUACAUUACCGCUAAAGUAGAUGAUUUAUAUUACUUGUGAUAUAAAUUUUGAAACUUUAGUGAGUAGGAAGGUACAAUGGUAUGCGUAGAAGUGUUUGGCGUAAGCCUGCAUGGAGCUGCCAUUGGUACAGAUCUUGGUGGUAGUAGCAAAUAAUCGAAUGAGACCUUGGAGGACUGAAGUGGAGAAGGGUUUCGUGUGAACAGUGGUUGAUCACGAGUUAGUCGGUCCUAAGUUCAAGGCGAAAGCCGAAAAUUUUCAAGUAAAACAAAAAUGCCUAACUAUAUAAACAAAGCGAAUUAUAAUACACUUGAAUAAUUUUGAACGAAAGGGAAUACGGUUCCAAUUCCGUAACCUGUUGAGUAUCCGUUUGUUAUUAAAUAUGGGCCUCGUGCUCAUCCUGGCAACAGGAACGACCAUAAAGAAGCCGUCGAGAGAUAUCGGAAGAGUUUUCUUUUCUGUUUUAUAGCCGUACUACCAUGGAAGUCUUUCGCAGAGAGAUAUGGUAGAUGGGCUAGAAGAGCAUGACAUAUACUGUUGUGUCGAUAUUUUCUCCUCGGACCUUGAAAAUUUAUGGUGGGGACACGCAAACUUCUCAACAGGCCGUACCAAUAUCCGCAGCUGGUCUCCAAGGUGAAGAGUCUCUAGUCGAUAGAAUAAUGUAGGUAAGGGAAGUCGGCAAAUUAGAUCCGUAACUUCGGGAUAAGGAUUGGCUCUGAAGAUUGAGAUAGUCGGGCUUGAUUGGGAAACAAUAACAUGGUUUAUGUGCUCGUUCUGGGUAAAUAGAGUUUCUAGCAUUUAUGUUAGUUACUUGUUCCCCGGAUAGUUUAGUUACGUAGCCAAUUGUGGAACUUUCUUGCUAAAAUUUUUAAGAAUACUAUUUGGGUUAAACCAAUUAGUUCUUAUUAAUUAUAACGAUUAUCAAUUAACAAUCAAUUCAGAACUGGCACGGACUUGGGGAAUCCGACUGUCUAAUUAAAACAAAGCAUUGUGAUGGCCCUAGCGGGUGUUGACACAAUGUGAUUUCUGCCCAGUGCUCUGAAUGUCAAAGUGAAGAAAUUCAAGUAAGCGCGGGUCAACGGCGGGAGUAACUAUGACUCUCUUAAGGUAGCCAAAUGCCUCGUCAUCUAAUUAGUGACGCGCAUGAAUGGAUUAACGAGAUUCCUACUGUCUU
rnacentral:rRNA from 1 species